rnacentral:lncRNA from 1 species
AAACAGCUUAGGAUAUAGGCUGAUGACAGUAUGAAAGCUGUUUGGAGCUGUAAAUACGGAUUUUUUCCUCACUGCUUUUCCCCCGUUUACAUGCGUAUUGAUCUUGAUGAGAAAGCUCACUCAGAGAAGUAGUCAAGAAAGCAAUAUAUUGAAAAUAAAGCCAUGUAUGUAGCAAGGAAGGUAUUCAAGGUGCCCACUUUGAUGACUUGUACUCGUGCCUUUGAUCCCCACUGUAGAAAAUGCUCUGCUCCAUUUCAAAAGAGAUUGCCUUGUGCCCCAUUUGUUGGCCUUUGGAUCAAACCAGCAACAGACCUCACAGAUAGAAUUCCACCAUUAGCCAUUCACAAAGAGGUCUUCAAUAAUCUUGUCUGCUGUCCCCACCAGAUAAAUUGCGCAGUGUACUAUUCAUGAUUGUGGGGACAUCUUCAACAGAGGUUGGUUUUCUUUCUCAGUGAAACUGUCUGCUUUUGGUUUGCUCUACAAUUUGUUUCCAGAGUUUCAAGGGCCAGUGACCUGCUUCUACAUUGAUUUCUCAUCUUGGGGAGAUAAGCACCAUGUAGGUAACAUACAUUUUACUCCAUGUCAAUAUGUAAUAUUAGCCUGAGGUAUUUGAAUUCCAACAGAAGAAUAUUGUCUCCUGCCAUUAAGAGGAACACAGGAAGAGAUGUACAUUCUUAUUGCCAUAUACACAGGCCAGUGAAUGUACUUACCUAGCACACCUUUUAUAGAAGAAUCAACACUAGACCAGUCUCCACCUGACGUAAGGAUUUUAGGUUUGAAUCUCAAUCUAACCCAAGCUCAAUGCAGCCUCUCUUGUUCCUGUAUAUAAAUGAAAAUGUCAGUCCUUAGUUGCUAUGGUCUAGCUCUUCUGGUGGUUCUUGAGCUUCCUAGGUCAUCUACUUAUAUGCUUAUGUCUGUAGCUUAAGUUUUC